CAAAAAAUAUAUACAGAGGUGAGAAAGCAAAUAGCAUAACCAACAUAUAAACUAAAAUGUCUUCGCUCAAGUUUGUUUUCCUUCUCUCUUUUCUGGUGAUUAGCUCUUACUUGCAGGUGAAGGUGGAAGCAAGAGGUCCAAUAGUCUCAUUUCGAUGCAAGACUAACGCAGAUUGCAUAACCAAUCCUUGCUCCGUGUACUUGCGUAAAUACCAUUUGUACUUGUCCCGGGAAAGCUUCUUUACAAGAAGCUGCUCUUGGAAAUGAAGGAGUAACAAUGCAUUGAAAUAGAAGAUGAAACACUUUGGGUGUAAUCCUUUUAAAUAAGAUUUGAAUAUACAUACUAAACCAUCGUGUCCAUUUUGUUUUA